rnacentral:misc_RNA from 1 species
AAAGAGAACGGGUACUAGACCCCACACACGCCACUCGGUAGAAAGACUUGGGCCUAUAGCUCAGCUGGCUAGAGCACACGACUGAUAAUCGUGAGGUCAGUGGUUCGAGUCCACUUGGGCCCACCAAAUGGGGCUGUAGCUCAGCUGGGAGAGCAUCGGCUUUGCAAGCCGAGGGUCACCGGUUCGAACCCGGUCAGCUCCACCAGACAGGAUCUGGUGGGAAGGUCUCGGGUAGGGGAGGCCUGGUAGGUAGUGGAGAAGGGAUGGAGCAUCUCUUGUGCACUGCUUAUCGAGAGGUAAGUUAGUAUUGUUCUUUAACAAUGGAAGAAGGGAAGGCCCGUUGCCAGGUUCUGGGACUUGGUAGCAAAGAGAACGGGUACUAGACCCCACACACGCCACUCGGUAGAAAGACUUGGGCCUAUAGCUCAGCUGGCUAGAGCACACGACUGAGAUCUCGCGAAGGUAUUGCGGGAUAUAUGGUCAAGUGAAUAAGGGCAUACGGUGGAUGCCUUGGCGGAAACAGGCGAUGAAGGACGUGGACACCUGCGAAAAGCC